rnacentral:rRNA from 1 species
UACGUAGGGGGGCUAGCGUUGUCCGGAAUUAUUGGGCGUAAAGAGCUCGUAGGCGGUCCGGUAAGUCCGCUCUGAAAGUCCGGGGGCUCAACCCCCGGGAGGCGGGCGGAUACUGUCGGGCUAGAGUCCGGAAGAGGCGAGUGGAAUUCCUGGUGUAGCGGUGAAAUGCGCAGAUAUCAGGAGGAACACCAAUGGCGAAGGCAGCUCGCUGGGACGGUACUGACGCUGAGGCGCGAAAGCGUGGGGGAGCAAACAGG